AUCCUGCCGGARGKUUACUGCUWUCGGUGUUCGCCUAAGCCAUGCGAGUCAUAUKUWGCAAUACAUGGCGUACUGCUCAGUAACACGUGGAUAACCUGCCCUUGGGUCCGGCAUAACCCCGGGAAACUGGGGAUAAUUCCGGAUAACGCACAUAUGCUGGAAUGCUUUAUGCGUCAAAUGGUUCGUCUGCCCAAGGAUGGGUCUGCGGCCUAUCAGGUAGUAGUGGGUGUAAUGUACCUACUAGCCGACAACGGGUACGGGUUGUGAGAGCAAGAGCCCGGAGAUGGAUUCUGAGACAUGAAUCCAGGCCCUACGGGGCGCAGCAGGCGCGAAAACUUUACAAUGCGGGAAACCGUGAUAAGGGGACACCGAGUGUCAGCAUCAUAUGCUGGCUGUCCAGGUGUGUAAAAUACACCUGUUAGCAAGGGCCGGGCAAGACCGGUGCCAGCCGCCGCGGUAACACCGGCGGCCCGAGUGGUGAUCGUGAUUAUUGGGUCUAAAGGGUCCGUAGCCGGUUUGGUCAGUCCUCCGGGAAAUCUGAUAGCUCAACUAUUAGGCUAUCGGGGGAUACUGCCAGGCUUGGAACCGGGAGAGGUAAGAGGUACUACAGGGGUAGGAGUGAAAUCUUGUAAUCCCUGUGGGACCACCUGUGGCGAAGGCGUCUUACCAGAACGGGUUCGACGGUGAGGGACGAAAGCUGGGGGCACGAACCGGAUUAGAUACCCGGGUAGUCCCAGCCGUAAACGAUGCUCGCUAGGUGUCAGGCAUGGCGCGACCGUGUCUGGUGCCGCAGGGAAGCCGUGAAGCGAGCCACCUGGGAAGUACGGCCGCAAGGCUGAAACUUAAAGGAAUUGGCGGGGGAGCAC
rnacentral:rRNA from 1 species